rnacentral:rRNA from 1 species
GACGAACGCUGGCGGCGUGCUUAACACAUGCAAGUCGAACGGAAAGGCCCUGCUUUUGUGCGGUGCUCGAGUUGCGACCGGGUGAGUAACACGUGAGUAACCUGCCCUUGACUUUGGGAUAACUUCAGGAAACUUGGUCUAAUACCGGCUAGGAGCUCCUGCUUCAUGGUGGGGGUUGGAAAGUUUCGGCGGUUGGGGAUUGACUCGCGGCUUAUCAGCUUGUUGGUGGGGUAGUGGCUUACCAAGGCUUUGACGGGUAGCCGGCCUGAGAGGGUGACCGGCCACAUUGGGACUGAGAUACGGCCCAGACUCCUACGGGAGGCAGCAGGGGGGAAUAUUGCACAAUGGGCGGAAGCCUGAUGCAGCAACGCCGCGUGCGGGAUGACGGCCUUCGGGUUGUAAACCGCUUUCGCCUGUGACGAAGCGUGAGUGACGGUAAUGGGUAAAGAAGCACCGGCUAACUACGUG